GCUAACAGAACGUAUGUUAACGGUUACGAAGCAGACAGAAGUUAUGUUGGAAAUAUAAGCUACGAUAUUGGUCUGCAAACAGUCAUAAACAUAGUUGAAGCCUCGGUAGAAUGUGAACAAUAUAUUAAAUAUGAAUGUUAUAAUGCCCAUAGUGUGUCAUUUGGGUUAAAUACACGUACUGGUGCCUUAGCAACUUAUUUAAUUGGAGGCGUCAAAGGUCAGAUGGAUUGCGCAUGUCAUCUUGAUAAUACAUGUGUUGAUGGUUUACUAUGUAAUUGUGAAAAGAAUGAUUUGGUAUUAAGAGUUGAUGAGGGAUAUAUUCGGUAUAAAGAGGACCUACCAAUUACCGCCAUUUUGGCAGGUGAUACAGGACACAGUACUGAGUACGCCUAUUAUACAGUCGGCAAUGUCAAGUGUAAAGGGUAGCCAAAGAGCCAGUCUAAAUGUUUAACUACGUUGUUUUGAAAGUGGGGAUAUGUUGGAUUAAAGUACAACCCAGAUUUUCACAUUCAUACAUAUAUAAAAAAAAUAAAAUAUGUUAUUAAGCACACCUAAAAGAUUAACCAUAUUGCAAAUUACAGA